rnacentral:rRNA from 1 species
AACGAACGUUGGCGGCGUGGAUUAGGCAUGCAAGUCGAACGGGGUUGGGGUAACUCCAACCUAGUGGCGAACGGGUGAGUAACGCGUGGGAAACCUGCCCUCGAGAUGGGGAUAACACUUCUAACGAGGUGCUAAUACCGAAUAAGACCACGGAGCUGCAUGGUUCUGCGGUCAAAGAUGGCCUCUGCUUGCAAGCUAUCACUUGAGGAUGGUCCCGCGUCCCAUUAGCUAGUUGGCGGGUAACGGCCCACCAAGGCGACGAUGGUUAGCUGGUCUGAGAGGAUGAUCAGCCACACUGGAACUGAGACACGGUCCAGACUCCUACGGGAGGCAG